UACGUAGGGCGCAAGCGUUGUCCGGAAUUAUUGGGCGUAAAGAGCUCGUAGGCGGUCUGUUGCGUCGGGAGUGAAAACUCAGGGCUUAACCCUGAGCCUGCUUCCGAUACGGGCAGACUAGAGGUAUGCAGGGGAGAACGGAAUUCCUGGUGUAGCGGUGAAAUGCGCAGAUAUCAGGAGGAACACCGGUGGCGAAGGCGGUUCUCUGGGCAUUACCUGACGCUGAGGAGCGAAAGUGUGGGGAGCGAACAGG
rnacentral:rRNA from 1 species